UACGUAGGGUGCAAGCGUUGUCCGGAAUUAUUGGGCGUAAAGGGCUCGUAGGCGGUCCAUCACGUCGGGAGUGAAAAGCUGGGGCUUAACCCCAGUCCUGCUUCCGAUACGGGCAGACUAGAGUUCGGCAGGGGAGACUGGAAUUCCUGGUGUAGCGGUGAAAUGCGCAGAUAUCAGGAGGAACACCGGUGGCGAAGGCGGGUCUCUGGGCCGAUACUGACGCUGAGGAGCGAAAGCGUGGGGAGCGAACAGG
rnacentral:rRNA from 1 species